GAAGUCCGUGAGUUGAACGCGGAGAAGAAAACGUGACGGAUGAACCCGAUACAGCCGUUGGAAUUAGAAGAACCCAAAUCGUCGUCCUGUACUGUCAUACUGCCGAACCAAGAGUACUGUUCUCCUCUCAUCGAGCUCUGAGGAUCCGGUAUGUUUUUGGGUUGGAGAUAAGAGUAGGCAGCUUGCUUCACCAGUCUGUUUCUGAUGGGCAUGUCUUCCAGGUAAUGGUAGUAACGUGAGGUCGAGGGUGAAGUCGCCGCCCACUUGGGUGAUUUGUUAUUGAUGCUGGGGGUGUCCAUCAUAUCCUUGAGGCUCGUGUAAUUGCUUCCCUGAGUGUCGAGAAUUAAAUUUUCAACGCUUAGGGAAUCUG
rnacentral:lncRNA from 1 species